UACGUAGGGUGCGAGCGUUGUCCGGAAUUAUUGGGCGUAAAGAGCUUGUAGGCGGUCUGUCGCGUCUGCUGUGAAAAUCCGGGGCUCAACCCCGGACUUGCAGUGGGUACGGGCAGACUAGAGUGUGGUAGGGGAGACUGGAAUUCCUGGUGUAGCGGUGAAAUGCGCAGAUAUCAGGAGGAACACCGGUGGCGAAGGCGGAUCUCUGGGCCUUACCUGACGCUCAGGCGCGAAAGCUAGGGGAGCGAACUGG
rnacentral:rRNA from 1 species